rnacentral:lncRNA from 1 species
CGCGCUUCCAGGGGCGGGAGGAGACCAAAGAGACCAAGGGACUGCGUGCUAGCGGGCGGGCGAAGGCCGGGCUGGAAAACUCCUCCUCUCGCCUCUUUUCCUCCCUCCUUCCCGCCUGGGGCCUGCCCUCCUUUCUCCGCCCCACUGGAACACUGCGCGGUUUGGGGCUCUGACCCACCCACCUCCUCCUUUUGUGCCAGCGCUUUCUGGCCAGAGAGCGCUGGAGACAUGCCCCAGCAGAGCGAAAUAUCCUAGAGUAUCUUUCUUUGCUCCAAUUUGCGCGCCCCCUCACCCGGAAUACACACACGGGUGGCUCAACCGCCUAGAACAUCCCAGACGUCUAGAAGGAUACCAUCUGUGCAGAAGAAAGCUGUGUGAGUCACACGGAAACAGAAGGGGCAACCGAGGGGAUUCAGAGUGGCCACACUGCGGCCGGAUACUAUGGCCACGUUCUCUGGUAUGAUCCUCACGACCAUGCCCCAAGUUCGCUAUUACUAUGUCCACUUUCUCCAAGAAGAAACCGACGCUUAGAAACUUGCCCAGAUUCACCCCCGUUACUGGCAGAGCAGGGACUGGAACUUAGGUGUGGAGUUCUGCUGACGUCAAAGUCCAUACUACAGUUUUUUUGGUUUGUUUGUUUUCUCUUUUGCAAAGGAAUAAAUCGAGGACUGGACCGGGUGCGUGCCUGCUGUGCUGCGGUUUAGGAUGGGGCUUGAGGUUCUCCUUCCAGGAUCAGCUGAUGGGAGAGCACAAGGCACAGAAAGUUCUCUGUCUCACCCACAGCCUUGGGGAUCCAGCUGUAGGUUCCUGCAGCCAGAUUUCCUCAUUUCCUGGGUUGUUCUUAACCACCCCAAAGAUACCACGACCAGACUGGAGCCUCCUCCCUGUAACUUGGCAUCGCUGGAUCCUGGCAUCAGGAUGGGGUUUCUAGGCUGCCCGCAGGACGGAUCUGGUUUCUUUGAGGCAUUUGACGUAAAUAUUCAGAAUGAAACAACACAAGCUCUUGGGGUUGAAAAAAAUUCUACAGCACAAGAAAAAGAAUAUUUUUACUAAAGGUUCAAAGUAAAACAGAUCUCUGUUAUGGAAAUAAACUAUAAAAAUGAAAAGCAAUUUUAGAGAAUAUCUAUUUGGUGCUUUCAAUAAAAGAUUCAUGAAAAAUUCUUUUUUAAAGUAGGAAUAGGUGGUCGUAAAGAGAACUGAGAAAUAUAAGAAUGCAGAAAUAAAAAUUAAAGUUAAUGACUUUCUGUUUUACCUGCAUGUACUUGGAAGCCAUCAUUCCUGCCCUUACGACGAGAAAAAUCUGGACACACUGAAAAUCAAUAUCUUUUCUCUGAC